CUUUAUACUCCCUCCGUCCGCCAAAAGUAUUCCACUUUGGCCGGGCACGGAGUUUAAUAAAAUGUGUGAUGAUGUUGAUGUAGUGGAGAAAGGGCCCCACCACUUUAUGAGAUGUGUGGUUGAGAUUGAAUUUGGGGUGGGUUUUUUGUAAAUAAAGAGUGUUUGUAAGGAUAAAAUAUAAAGGUGGAUGGUGGGACCAUGGCUUAAAAAGGAAAGUGGAAUACUUUUUGCGGACGCCAAAUAUAGUAAUUGUGGAAUACUUUUGGCGGACGGAGGGAGUA
rnacentral:lncRNA from 1 species